rnacentral:rRNA from 1 species
CGAAAGCCUGACGGAGCAACGCCGCGUGGGGGAAGAAGGUUCUUGGCUUGUAAACCCCUUUUCUCAGGGAAGAAGUUCUGACGGUACCUGAGGAAUCAGCCUCGGCUAACUCCGUGCCAGCAGCCGCGGUAAUACGGAGGAGGCAAGCGUUAUCCGGAAUCAUUGGGCGUAAAGCGUCCGCAGGGGGCUCAUCAAGUCUGCUGUCAAAGGUCGGAGCUCAACUCCGGUUCGGCAGUGGAAACUGGUGAGCUAGAGGGCGACAGGGGUAGAGGGAAUUCCCAGUGUAGCGGUGAAAUGCGUAGAGAUUGGGAAGAACACCAGAGGCGAAAGCGUUCUGCUGGGCCGCACCUGACCCUGAGGGACGAAAGCCAGGGGAGCG